AUGAACGCUGGCGGCAUGGAUUAGGCAUGCAAGUCGAGCGAUCCGUUGUGCGCAAGUAUGAUGGAUAGCGGCGAAAGGGUGAGUAACACGUGAGUAACCUGCCCCCAAGUCCGGGAUAGCCCUGGGAAACCGGGAUUAAUACCGGAUGUGGUCCCUUGUCUGCAUAGGUGAGGGACUGAAGGUUUUUCGCUCGGGGAUGGGCUCGCGUCCGAUUAGCUUGUUGGUGAGGUAACGGCCCACCAAGGCGAUGACCGGUAGCUGGUCUGAGAGGAUGGUCAGCCACACUGGGACUGAGACACUGCCCAGACUCCUACGGGAGGCUGCAGUCGAGAAUCUUCCGCAAUGGGCGAAAGCCUGACGGAGCGAUGCCGCGUGAGGGAUGAAGAUCUUCGGAUUGUAAACCUCUGUCACCCGGGAAGAACAAAAAUGACGGUACCGGGAGAGGAAGCACCGGCUAACUACGU
rnacentral:rRNA from 1 species